CUCCAGGAUGUUGAAUUUUUAUCCUUGGGCUUAUUCCUUCAUGGCUACAAGAUAGCUGCAGCAGCUCCAGACAUUAUAUCCAUCACAGCUAUGCCUGUAUUGGUCUUCCAUAGCUAUUGGAAUAAAUACUACAGACUGGCUGCUAGAACGACAGAAAUCUGUCCUGUCACUGGUGGGAGGUCAGAUGUCCGAGGUCGACAAUCAGUUUUACUGAACUGAAAUCCAGGUGUUACCAGGGCCAUUCCUCAGCUUGUGGUUGCAACAAUCACUCAAAUCUGCCUCUCCCUCCACACUGCCCAUGGGUGUGUGUGUGUAUGUGUGUGUGUGUGUUGUCUAUAUCCAAUCUCCCUCCACCUCUCUUACAAGGACUCUUGGGUUGGAUUUAGGGCCCUCUGGUCAUUUAGGCAUAAUCUCCCUACCUCAUGGUCCUACACUUGAAGCUUAGGAUCCAGCCCUCUUGAGUUUGCUCCUACCCAGGAUAUAUCGCCCCCAUUCUAAAUCCCCUGACCUUCAGAACUGCCACGGGAGACACGGGAAUGCCAUGUCCCCUCGUCCUCUCCCAAAUCCAGGUACAAGGAAGAGGCCGGCCCAGCACCCAACCUAGCCCCAGGCCCCGCGGGCAAUGUCUUCAGCCUCCCUGCCCCUUCCUGGGACCCUGCUGCACACCUUGCCUGGGGUUGAGAGGUUGUCGCAGUGGGAAGAUCCCUGAACCCUACGUCACCCCCACUCCCCAGCAUUCACUCUGUC
rnacentral:lncRNA from 1 species